rnacentral:lncRNA from 1 species
CCGACUCUACCGAUUCCUAGCUGGAUAACUGGUGAUAAAGACUAGAAAAAACAGGUAGAAACCUAUGAAUCUAGCAAAUAUCGAUAACUAGUGAAUAAAUCUAAACGAAACAAUAGCGAUACGCCCGGAGUUAAAGCUUAGAUAUUACUCGAUAAACGGAACUUACAGAAUCGGCUGGAGAUCAAGGUGAUGCAGCCCUGCCAAUCCGCACGAACUCGUGGAAAAGAGAAAAGCAAUAGCGAAGUCGCUUGAAAGUAAGUACGAGGAAAAAAGUAGCUUGUUGUAUUGAUUUGUUGAUGAUUACAGAUUUACAAAGGUAGCUAUUUAUAGCCCCGUACAGAUAACUUCUUAACCGACUAGAAUCCUAUCUCUAAUUCAAAC